rnacentral:rRNA from 1 species
AACACAUGCAAGUCGAGGGGCGAGCAUUGGAGUAGCAAUACUUCAGAUGGCGACCGGCGCACGGGUGAGUAACACGUAUCCAACCUGCCGCUUACUCGGGGACAGCCUUUCGAAAGAAAGAUUAAUACCCGAUGGUAUAAAGAGUUCGCAUGUUCUCUUUAUUAAAGAAUUUCGGUAAGCGAUGGGGAUGCGUUCCAUUAGAUAGUUGGCGGGGUAACGGCCCACCAAGUCUACGAUGGAUAGGGGUUCUGAGAGGAAGGUCCCCCACAUUGGAACUGAGACACGGUCCAAACUCCUACGGGAGGCAGCAGUGAGGAAUAUUGGUCAAUGGACGAGAGUCUGAACCAGCCAAGUAGCGUGAAGGAUGACUGCCCUAUGGGUUGUAAACUUCUUUUAUAAGGGAAUAAAGUGAGGGACGUGUCCCUUUUUGUAUGUACCUUAUGAAUAAGGAUCGGCUAACUCCGUGCCAGCAGCUGC